GACGAACGCUGGCGGCGUGCCUAAUACAUGCAAGUCGAACGCUUCUUUCCUCCCGAGUGCUUGCACUCAAUUGGAAAGAGGAGUGGCGGACGGGUGAGUAACACGUGGGUAACCUACCCAUCAGAGGGGGAUAACACUUGGAAACAGGUGCUAAUACCGCAUAACAGUUUAUGCCGCAUGGCAUAAGAGUGAAAGGCGCUUUCGGGUGUCGCUGAUGGAUGGACCCGCGGUGCAUUAGCUAGUUGGUGAGGUAACGGCUCACCAAGGCCACGAUGCAUAGCCGACCUGAGAGGGUGAUCGGCCACACUGGGACUGGGACACGGCCCAGACUCCUACGGGAGGCAGCAGUAGGGAAUCUUCGGCAAUGGACGAAAGUCUGACCGAGCAACGCCGCGUGAGUGAAGAAGGUUUUCGGAUCGUAAAACUCUGUUGUUAGAGAAGAACAAGGACGUUAGUAACUGAACGUCCCCUGACGGUAUCUAACCAGAAAGCCACGGCUAACUACGU
rnacentral:rRNA from 1 species